GGUUAGGGGAUCCACCAUUGAGAAGACAACGUUCAUUCGGGACAAGUAUGCCACUAUGUCAUUUUUUUAAAAUUCUCUAAGCAAUCAGCCACAGCCCUUCGACUGAAGCAAAACAGUUCCUAUCUGUGAAGGUUUGCAUACGACGCUCGGCCCAAGGAGUGGCACUAUUAGGUGUGACUCUGUUGGAGUAGGUGUGGCCUUGUUGGAGUAGGUGUAUCACUUUGGGUGUGGGCUCUAAGCCCUCCUGCUAGCUGCCUGGAGGCCAGGAUUCUCCUAGCAGCCUUUUGAUGAAGAUGUAGAACUCUCAGCUCCUCCUGCACCAUGCCUGCCUGGAUGCUGCCAUGUUCCUGCCUUGAUGAUAAUGGACUGAACCUCUGAACCUGUAUGUCAGCCUCAAUUAAAUGUUGUCCUGAGG
rnacentral:lncRNA from 1 species